CCUACGGGGUGCUGCAGUGGGGAAUAUUGGACAAUGGGGGGAACCCUGAUCCAGCCAUGCCGCGUGUGUGAAGAAGGCCCUCGGGUUGUAAAGCACUUUCAGUGAGGAAGAACGCCUGGUGGUUAAUACCCAUCAGGAAAGACAUCACUCACAGAAGAAGCACCGGCUAACUCCGUGCCAGCAGCCGCGGUAAUACGGAGGGUGCGAGCGUUAAUCGGAAUUACUGGGCGUAAAGCGCGCGUAGGUGGCUUGAUAAGCCGGUUGUGAAAGCCCCGGGCUCAACCUGGGAACGGCAUCCGGAACUGUCAAGCUAGAGUGCAGGAGAGGAAGGUAGAAUUCCCGGUGUAGCGGUGAAAUGCGUAGAGAUCGGGAGGAAUACCAGUGGCGAAGGCGGCCUUCUGGACUGACACUGACACUGAGGUGCGAAAGCGUGGGUAGCAAACAGGAUUAGAUACCCCUGUAGUC
rnacentral:rRNA from 1 species